AAAAAGCGAUAUUCGUCGAGCUUUCUCUUUUCCGUAAAAAAGACAUGUUAUAUUUUCCUGCACUGUACAAACUAUGUUUUAGCCGACAAUUUAUAAUUUACGCUGAAAAACAUGAACCUUUAUUUUCCUGACGUUACUUUUCAAUAAAAUCGAGAAUAUUUUAACUGGGACCGCAAUGUAAACUGAAUUGUAAACAAUAAUUUCAGUGCAUCCGUUCGCUGCCAAUAGAAGCAGGAUCUACGAUACCUAUGCGUAUACUAUUUUCAACCUAUUUAGCAUCUAUUAAGUAAAAUGGUCGACUGCAGGACACAAGUCCUUCUUCCAGCAUCCGAAAUAAAUCAACACAGUUGCUUCAGCCGACGAAGCACGGUUAGGUCUAAAAUUAAAUCAUGGACAUUUGGUUUAAAAGUUGUGAAUCAAAUGUGAAUUUAUGUUCCGGCAUAUACAUUUUUGGUUUGUAUAAACGACUGUUAACGUCAUAAUCCAAGUACAAUUCUCUCGUCUAUACUUUCGCGGACCAUCGCACUUUAGCGUAUGGAGGAAUCGUACUUUAGCGUAGACCAUCGCACUUUAGCGUGACCAUCGUACUUUAGCGUCCCCAUCGCACUUUAGAGUCCUACAUAUAUAUGUUAUAUUUGUUAUUCUCGUGGGAUUUUGUCUAUGCGUGUUACAUUUUAGUGUUAUGUCGUUGUUCUCCUCUUAUAUUUAAUGCGUUUCCCUCGGUUUUACUUUGUUACCCCUAUUUUGUUGCUUGUCCAUGGAUUUAUGAGUUUUGAACAGCGGUAUACUACUGUUGCCUUUAUUCAUCCUUAAUAUUGAAAUGUAAGUUGUAUUUGAUGAUAAUACAUAACAUUAUAUAAAGGGUGAGGAUGAACACG
rnacentral:lncRNA from 1 species